rnacentral:rRNA from 1 species
UGGCGCACGGGUGCGUACGCGUGGGAAUCUGCCCCUUGGUUCGGAAUACCAGUUGGAACGACUGCUAUACCGGAUGAUGACGUAAGUCCAAAGAUUUAUCGCCGAGGGAUGAGCCCGCGUAGGAUUAGGUAGUUGGUGUGGUAAAGGCGCACCAAGCCGACGAUCCUUAGCUGGUCUGAGAGGAUGAUCAGCCACACUGGGACUGAGACACGGCCCAGACUCCUACGGGAGGCAGCAGUGGGGAAUAUUGGACAAUGGGCGAAAGCCUGAUCCAGCAAUGCCGCGUGAGUGAUGAAGGCCUUAGGGUUGUAAAGCUCUUUUACCCGGGAUGAUAAUGACAGUACCGGGAGAAUAAGCUCCGGCUAACUCCGUGCCAGCAGCCGCGGUAAUACGGAGGGAGCUAGCGUUAUUCGGAAUUACUGGGCGUAAAGCGCACGUAGGCGGCUUUGUAAGUAAGAGGUGAAAGCCCAGAGCUCACUCUGGAAUUG